GUUAGCGUAUUAAUAUAAAGAUAGUAGAUGGUGAAACCAAAGCAGGCACUCACAGGCAUAUACGGAAAUUGGAAUAACUCGGCUCUGGAGCCACCUAUCGGG